rnacentral:rRNA from 1 species
UACGUAGGGGGGCAAGCGUUGUCCGGAAUUAUUGGGCGUAAAGCGCGCGCAGGCGGUCCUUUAAGUCUGAUGUGAAAGCCCACGGCUCAACCGUGGAGGGUCAUUGGAAACUGGGGGACUUGAGUACAGAAGAGAAGAGUGGAAUUCCACGUGUAGCGGUGAAAUGCGUAGAGAUGUGGAGGAACACCAGUGGCGAAGGCGACUCUUUGGUCUGUAACUGACGCUGAGGCGCGAAAGCGUGGGGAGCAAACAGG